GGAUUUGUACCAAGAUCAUGCCAAGAUCUUACAUAAAUCUUGCAAGAUCUUUCCAAGUUCUUGCAGGAUCUUGCAAGAUCUUGCCAUUAUCAUGGCAAGAUCUUGUCAUGAUCAUGGCAAGAUCUUGCAAGAUCUUGCCAUUAUCAUGGCAAGAUCUUGUCAUGAUCAUGGCAAGAUCUUACAAGAUGUUUGGCAAGAUCUUGCAAGAUCCUGCAAGAUCUUAGGUAAGAUCCUGCAAGAACUUGG
rnacentral:sRNA from 1 species